GGGCUGAAGUAGGGUCAAAAGUAGGUGAACAAAGUUAUAAAAGUCUUAGUUUUUACACAGAUUUGAUGGAGAAGAGGUCCUUAUUGAAGCAUUCAAAGAAGAUAUGGAAAUACCAAAACUCACUUAGUUUCUAAGAAUUAAGAUGCAGCUAUUGGGAACCCCAUUUCAAGCUCCAGUGAUGAAUAUAAUUUGUAUAAAUUGCAUCUUAGAUGCAUCAAUUAACUAGAUGGGGGAAUGCUUUCACAAUCCAUAUUUAUAUCAAAUCAUCAUGAUAUGCACUUUAAAUAUCCUACAGUAUUUAUUAUGCUUCCAGUAAAGCUGGAUACAAGGAGCUUUUCUUUUUUUCAAGAAUGAGUCUUGACUUACAAGGCAUAAGCAUUAGGUUAGUAUUUGAAAAUAGAGAUCGAAGUAAAUUCAGUAGUUUCUCAAAGUUCAUCCUCUUUGAAUUUUUUUUUCCUAGAAAGUUGUUUAUUCUCAUUCCACUAUCAACCAGCCGGCAGCCUCCUGUUGGGACUUCCAGAGCCCUAACAAGGGCCCGAGGGGCAGCCCCAUUCUGAAGAAAAGUCACUCAGCCAUACACAGAGCAAGUCCAGGCGGGCAGCCAGUGCCCCCUGCUGGCCAGUGGGGGUUGCUGCAGCUGCCCAUGCUGGUCCUCUCUUCCAGGUGGCUUGGGGCUAGGGUCACUUAUACUGCAGGAGGGAGAAGAAGGGCACAGCCCCCCCAGCUUCUCCCUGCCCUUCAUUGAGCUCAGCUCCACCAGGCUUACACACUUCAGCAACCUCAGCCCGCAAGUGGCCCUGCAGCUCACAGGCGGCGUGCAUGUUUCCACCAGUGGCGAGCAGAACAGUCCACAACCACCACCUUCAGCUGGUCCCAGGGCAUGUCUCUGGAUUUCCAGUUCAGCCUUCCAGUAUUCCAGCGCAUAUGAUGCAUGCACGGUGGUGGGCGGCAGCUUCCCUUGCUUUCGGAUGAGAACGUAGUCCGAGCCCAGCUCCUGGGCCAGGGACAGACCAAACAAGGAAAUCGCGGGAGUCUAGGCCCGGCGGUGUAGUCGAUCCUGCCACUGUGGGUCUUUUUCAGGUGAUUCACCAGGAGGCUGAUGGAGGCUCGGAAAGAGUUGGGGUCCUUCAGGACUGGCGAGAUGUCCCUGAACAAGACCCACCUUUGUCACUUCCGCACGUGUCAUGGGCACGAGGGGCCGGCUCCUGUUUUAAUUUUAACUUAAGAGAAAACUUACCUAGUUUUGUGGAUAGAUUUCUGUCCAUAUGACAUCAGGUGCUUUGAAAAAACUUAGAAAUGCAGCC
ensembl:lncRNA